rnacentral:rRNA from 1 species
CAGCAGCCACGGUAACACGAAGGGUGCAAGCGUUAAUCGGAAUUACUGGGCGUAAAGCGUGCGCAGGCGGUUUGUUAAGACAGAUGUGAAAUCCCCGGGCUCAACCUGGGAACUGCAUUUGUGACUGGCAAGCUAGAGUGUGGCAGAGGGGGGUGGAAUUCCGCGUGUAGCAGUGAAAUGCGUAGAUAUGCGGAGGAACACCGAUGGCGAAGGCAGCCCCCUGGGCCAACACUGACGCUCAUGCACGAAAGUGUGGGGAGCAAACAGGAUUAGAUACCCCCGUAGUCCCUGUCUCUUAUAC